rnacentral:rRNA from 1 species
GGGAGCCGGAGGGAAACCGAGUCUUAAUUGGGCGUUAAGUUGCAGGGUAUAGACCCGAAACCCGGUGAUCUAGCCAUGGGCAGGUUGAAGGUUGGGUAACACUAACUGGAGGACCGAACCGACUAAUGUUGAAAAAUUAGCGGAUGACCUGUGGCUGGGGGUGAAAGGCCAAUCAAACCGGGAGAUAGCUGGUUCUCCCCGAAAGCUAUUUAGGUAGCGCCUCGUGAAUUCAUCUCCGGGGGUAGAGCACUGUUUCGGCUAGGGGGCCAUCCCGGCUUACCAACCCGAUGCAAACUGCGAAUACCGGAGAAUGUUAUCACGGGAGACACACGGCGGGUGCUAACGUCCGUCGUGAAGAGGGAAACAACCCAGACCGCCAGCUAAGGUCCCAAAGUCAUGGUUAAGUGGGAAACGAUGUGGGAAGGCCCAGACAGCCAGGAUGUUGGCUUAGAAGCAGCCAUCAUUUAAAGAAAGCGUAAUAGCUCACUGGUCGAGUCGGCCUGCGCGGAAGAUGUAACGGGGCUAAACCAUGCACCGAAGCUGCGGCAGCGACGCUUAUGCGUUGUUGGGUAGGGGAGCGUUCUGUAAGCCUGUGAAGGUGUGUCGUGAGGCAUGCUGGAGGUAUCAGAAGUGCGAAUGCUGACAUAAGUAACGAUAAAGCGGGUGAAAAGCCCGCUCGCCGGAAGACCAAGGGUUCCUGUCCAACGUUAAUCGGGGCAGGGUGAGUCGACCCCUAAGGCGAGGCCGAAAGGCGUAGUCGAUGGGAAACGGGUUAAUAUUCCCGUACUUGGUGUUACUGCGAAGGGGGGACGGAGAAGGCUAUGUUGGCCGGGCGACGGUUGUCCCGGUUUAAGCGUGUAGGUGUGUGUUCCAGGUAAAUCCGGUUCACUUUAACACUGAGGCGUGACGACGAGGCACUACGGUGCUGAAG